AAUAAUCACUAUGUACUUUAACAUUCCAUGGCUAGUACUCCACUUAAUAUCAGUCAAAAUAUACUUUAAUCAUAAUCCAAAAUACAAAUUACUCCAUCGAGAAAUCUCCAAACUAGCUUAUUCUUAUUUUGGCAUGGCUCGCUACCAUUCUGUUUGAAAACACCAAAAUUUUUUUUUUAUAGUCUUGAAUUCUGAUACCAUACCUGUCAUAAUCAUGCUCCUAGAAUGAUUUUGUAUUAGUCUUAACUUCUUUCUUUUUG
rnacentral:lncRNA from 1 species